GAUGUGGGUAAUUUUUUGAUACACGAUAUGGAACGUCAAAAUCUAGACAGAUCGGAAGAGCCAUUCCAAUGCGUUUCCACUUAUCGCUCUGGUCAACAUCGCAAUUCACUAGUUAAAAGCCAUUGCAGUAUUAUAACGCAGUAUAUACGUGAUGGAACGACAGUUGAUAAAUUAUUGCGUGUCAAUUUCUCCAUCGCCGGCUCGCACUUGAGCACCACUCUCUAUGUAUGCCGUUGAUCCGCAUUAAAAGUUUGUGACUAGACCAGAAAUCGUAAGAAGAAAUGCAAACAUUUACUACCGUCGUUACGCAAGAGAAUGUAUCGUAUUGCGUAUAUUAUGCUCUUCGGUCAAAAGACCGUACUCGCUUUUGGAUUGACCGGCCAAGCUACAUCGCCCCAUGAUGAUCUCUAUUGUACAUAAUAUAAUAUAUCUAUAAUAGGUGACCGGUGUUGAAAGUUUUCUAGUGUAUCCGGGGACAAUCUCCUCUUCCGCGACGAGGGUACUCGUCCUUAUAUAUAAAAUAUAAUAUGGAACCUUUGUCUCGUCUAGCCUGCACGCCACGCAUAGAGUCAGGCGUUAUCCGAUUGUGUCCCACUUCACCCAUUUAUAUCUCUCCGAAGUUUCGAUCACGUUCUCGAGGCAGGUCAAUUAAUAAUAUGUCAUCAUGUAUAUCAAUAUGUAAAUCAACAUUUUUCAAAAAAGCCAUCAUAAUAUAUUGAAUAUUUUAUAGAAAAAUAUAUGAUUCUCAUAAAAAAAAAAAAAUUAAAAUUAUUAUCGUCACCAUAGGACACAUCUUAAAUGACAUUAUUAAUCUGAAUAAAUAAAAACAGAUUUGUUAAGUUAAGCUAACAAUUUCAAAACCCAGACUGAAAAAAAAAUUAUUAUUGAAGAAAGUUGAGAAGUAAGUAUGCUUAGUAAAUCAGUUUGUAUGGAUCUCGAUUGACGACGUUUGUUAUCGUAGAACGCGUCAUAUCAAUAAUAUGUAUAAACAAAUAAAUAUUUAUCAUCCAAUAUAUUAUAUAAUUAAAAAUAUAAA